rnacentral:tRNA from 1 species
GGAGUUGUGGCUUAGAGGUAGAGCACUCACCUGGCAUGUGUGAGGCACUGGGUUCAAUCCUCAGCACCA